GACACUGAGGCUCGAAAGCGUGGGUAGCAAACAGGAUUAGAUACCCUGGUAGUCCACGCCGUAAACGAUGUCUACUAGUCGUUGGGUCCCUUGAGGACUUAGUGACGCAGCUAACGCAAUAAGUAGACCGCCUGGGGAGUACGGCCGCAAGGUUAAAACUCAAAUGAAUUGACGGGGGCCCGCACAAGCGGUGGGGCAUGUGGUUUAAUUCGAUGCAACGCGAAGAACCUUACCUGGUCUUGACAUACACAGAAUCUUGCAGAGAUACGAGAGUGCCUUCGGGAAUUGUGAUACAGGUGCUGCAUGGCUGUCGUCAGCUCGUGUCGUGAGAUGUUGGGUUAAGUCCCGCAACGAGCGCAACCCUUGUCCUUAGUUACCAGCGGGUUAAGCCGGGAACUCUAAGGAUACUGCCAGUGACAAACUGGAGGAAGGCGGGGACGACGUCAAGUCAUCAUGGCCCUUACGACCAGGGCUACACACGUGCUACAAUGGUAGGUACAGAGGGCAGCUACACAGCGAUGUGAUGCGAAUCUCAAAAAGCCUAUCGUAGUCCAGGUUGGAGUCUGCAACUCGACUCCAUGAAGUAGGAAUCGCUAGUAAUCGCGGAUCAGAAUGCCGCGGUGAAUACGUUCCCGGGCCUUGUACACACCGCCCGUCACACCAUGGGAGUUGAUUGCACCAGAAGUGGUUAGCC
rnacentral:rRNA from 1 species